rnacentral:rRNA from 1 species
GACGAACGCUGGCGGCGUGCUUAACACAUGCAAGUCGAACGGAAAGGCCCUGCUUGCAGGGUACUCGAGUGGCGAACGGGUGAGUAACACGUGGGUGAUCUGCCCUGCACUUCGGGAUAAGCUUUGGAAACUGGGUCUAAUACCGGAUAGGAGCCAUCUUUAGUGUGGUGGUUGGAAAGUUUUUUCGGUGUAGGAUGAGCUCGCGGCCUAUCAGCUUGUUGGUGGGGUAAUGGCCUACCAAGGCGGCGACGGGUAGCCGGCCUGAGAGGGUGUACGGCCACAUUGGGACUGAGAUACGGCCCAGACUCCUACGGGAGGCAGCAGUGGGGAAUAUUGCACAAUGGGCGCAAGCCUGAUGCAGCGACGCCGCGUGGGGGAUGAAGGCCUUCGGGUUGUAAACUCCUUUCGCUAGGGACGAAGCUUUUUGUGACGGUACCUAGAUAAGAAGCACCGGCUAACUACGUG